AUGAAGAAUAGUUAGUGGCAGACGGGUGAGUAAUGCAUAGGAAUCUACCUAGUAGUAUAGGAUAGCCACUAGAAAUGGUGGGUAAUACUGUAUAAUCCCUGCGGGGGAAAGAUUUAUCGCUAUUAGAUGAGCCUAUGUUAGAUUAGCUAGUUGGUAGGGUAAAGGCCUACCAAGGCGAUGAUCUAUAGCUGGUCUGAGAGGAUGAUCAGCCACACUGGAACUGAGAUACGGUCCAGACUCCUACGGGAGGCAGCAGUGGGGAAUAUUGGACAAUGGGCGCAAGCCUGAUCCAGCUAUGCCGCGUGAGUGAGGAAGGCCUUAGGGUUGUAAAACUCUUUCAGUAGGGAAGAUAAUGACGGUACCUACAGAAGAAAUCCCGGCAAACUCCGUGCCAGCAGCCGCGGUAAUACGGAGGGGGCAAGCGUUGUUCGGAAUUAUUGGGCGUAAAGGGCAUGUAGGCGGUUCGGUAAGUUAAAGGUGAAAUGCCAGGGCUUAAC
rnacentral:rRNA from 1 species